GCCAGCCACCAUAGACUUCAGUGCUUGUGGAGGGCUGGAGGUAUUCCAUUAAAUCCCCUGGAAUCACUCCAAAGUGUUUCUUCGAGUGUAACAGAAGAAAUCUUGUAGCUCUUUCUUCACUAAAUCUCAUCUGUUGUCUGUCUUUGUGGAAGAUGAGAUUGGACUUGUGUGUCCCUUCAAGUACUGUUCUUACGCCUGUUGAGAGUCUGCACCUGAGUGUAGCUGUGAUUCCCCAGUGGUGACUACUCUUCCAUCACUGUAUCUGCAUGCUGGACCCUAACCCUUUCCAUUUGGUUUCUAAGGUGGUGGAGUUGUGCAGAAACUGGAGCACAGGGCUUGGGAUGGUCUGUGAAAGAGCCAGCGCCGUUUAGCUUGACUGUAUUAUCUCAGAUGAAUCGUCAGGGAGAACCCGAGGCUGAUUCAUCCAGCCAUUUCUGACUCACCUGGAGCACUGAUCUUGAAUCCUGUUCGUGUACAUGGAAAAUUUUAUGGGGUCAAGCACAGAACCCAGCCACCGUGCUCAUCUGUGUCCACCUGGUCCUCCUGUCAUGUCUGGCAUUAACAGGAAAAUUCAGGUAUUCAAAUAAUUCGUUCUCCAAUUUCCUGUUACUGUUAGGAAGUGUUGGAACAUUCCCCUAUUUCUUGCUGCACAAAACAUUCCUCUUUUCUGUUAAACUUCAGCCAUGCAUUAUGCAGCAUUUAUCACCAUGCUCCUCUCUGAGUACAAGAGCUCCAAGGUACUCUGGUUGUUCAUGGAAGGAAUAAUAAUAAUUACUAGCUCAUUUGAGCUUGUCCUAAUUUUGCCAUUCCACCUGAAGGCAAAAGCCAAAAAAAUUAAAUUCAGAACCCUGUUUUCAUUUCACAUUGUGUGAGAUCUAAUCAAGGAGAACUCUUCUUUUUCAUGCAUCUCAGUGUAAGAACAGAGCAGCUGCCCACAAUAUAGGUUAUGUGAAGCAUCAUAAAAAAUUUAAAAGCAACAAAUGUCACAACUUUCUGUUUAGUUUGUUUGUGAUGUGAGUCUUAGAGCCCAUCAGCCCUGUGGCUUCCAGCUGUUGUCUGUAGCUAUGGAUAUCAGGGAGAUUCUGGGGGAUUUGGGCUGAUCUUUUUAACUGAUACUUUGUGUUGAUCCUUCUAGGGAAGUGGGGGCUGUCACAAGCUGGCAGUGAGUCACAGUGCUGCAAUAUUCCCCUCUGCACAGAAGCAGCCAUGUUCUGGGCUCUCAGAUCUGUUGUUUUUUUAACCUCAGAAGCAAACUACUGAGCAUUUCUGCCAACUUUAGGCUUGAAUGCAGGGAUUCCCACCAGCAGACCAGAAGAGCUGCUGUCCAGGUAAGUUUUGUGCUUGAGGUACUGUAGAGACUUAAUUCUUGUAAUCUUUUCUAAAUUCUCUUAAAAUAAGGGGCAAAAACUCCCCUUCCUGCCCCAACGCUUUAUGACCCCUAUGGAUGCAUCUGUAUCCAUAGAAGAGGUUGCCCCAACACUUCUCAGCCCUUCCACUCCAUAUUGAUCCGUGUCAUCACAAUAAGCCUUCAAAAGGCUUCUCACUACAAAGCAGACUGGUGUGGUGGUGAGACAGAGGAACAAACACAGAUCCAUGCUUGUGCUCAGCACUGCUCCUGUGGAUCUGGCCCAGCAACUCGAGCAGAACAACAGCCUCAAGUUGCACCAGGAGAGGUUUGGAUUGGAUAUCAGAAGAACUUGUUCAUGGAGGGGGUGGACAAGCAUUGGAACGUGCUGCCCAGAGCAGUGGUGGAAUAACCAUCCCUGUCCUUGCAGGUAACUAAGAGAUGUGUGGGCAUGGCACUAAUGGACAUGAUUCAUUGGUGGGACUCAGCAGGUCGGGUUGAUGGUUGGGUUUGAUGAUCUUGAAGCUUGGAUCUGAUAGAGGAUCUGAUGGAGAUUCAGAGCUCAGACCUUAUUUUUGCUACAUGGUUCUGCAGUGUGGGACUCAGAAUUCCCCUUGGUCACCCAUGUCAGUGGCCUGACACUGCCUGCUCAGUGACAAAUCAGACCAGAGCUGCAGGAGGGACAGAUGUCACCUGGAUCCAGGGCCACCACAGAUGACAGAUUUCUGCUUUGUCCACCAGAAAAUUUUCUGUCAGCAUCAAAUGAAGGUCAGAGAAUGCAGCAGAGAGAUGGCCUCAUUUCAGCCUGGCAAGAGAACCUGCAGCCAGGAGCGUGGGUGCAUGGUGCAGGACACAGGUGCUCUGCUUCUGCUGGUACCUUUGGGCUGCCUCCUGCACCAGAAGGUUUUGCAUUACACAUUUUUUUUUCCCUCUAUCUCUUCCUGCUAACAAGAUAUUCCUCUGGACAAUCUGAAAGCUCAUGCUCCAUCUCUUUCAAGGCUAGGCUGGAUGGGGUGUGGACGGUCUGAUCUGGUCAGGGGCAAGCUGCCCACAGCAGGGGCUUGGGACCAGAUAGGAUUUAAGGUCCUUGCCAACCAAAGGCAUUCUAUGAUCCCACUUUGCAUCAGCUCUUGGAGGAAGGCGUAGUGGGAGCAGGACACUGGUGGAGAUGGAAGGAAGGCUGUGAGCAUAGAAGAGCCUGCAUUAAGGCAAGCAUUUCUCAUCUCCUUCAAGUGACCCGGUGCAGUCAGUAUAUCGUGUUCCUCCAUUCAGGCAUUUAACAUUGCCACCAUGACUUUGGCCAUUGGCACGAGCCAUGUGAACCCAUAAGGUUGCCCACCGAACACCAACGUUAUGAAUUCACGUGGUUAGGCUGAAGGCAGGCACACCCAAAGCAGGCUGCCAACGCUCAGAUGGCUUUUGGAGGUUCCCAAGACCCCCACAGCCUCUCUGAGUUUUUAUCCCUUUAUAAGGAGUAAAGGAUGAGUGGUAGCAACGCUUGUGGGUUCCAUCCAGGAGAUGGCAGCAGCAUCCCUCACACAUCCCUAUGGCAACGGGAGCGGUGCAUCCCUGGGCUGGGGGCGUUGAUCAUAAGGACAGGGAAAGGCAUCGCCUCCCAGCAAGUAGCCCUUCUGCCUGCUUGUCUUUGCUCUGCUCCUCGCCUGGCAGCACGGUGACGUGAUGGAGGUGACAAGCAGGGUGUUUCUGCUGAAUCAGUCUCUUUCCUUUUUGCAGGAGGGAAAAGCUGCUGCAAAACUUGCAAGCCGUAGCUUGGAUCCUGUCGUGCUGCUCACAGACAGCUGAUGUGCAGAGCUCGUUAGCACCAUGAAAUGUUGGCUGUCACUAGGGACCUGUCCUUCAGUGGUUGGGGGCACACGCAUCGGGGUGAAGCUCUGGGACCUCAGCCUGCACCAAGAGGCUGCAAUGAAAUUGUCUUGAGCGUAACCAAGUCACCAUGGGCACGGCCCGAAGAGUUCCUCCAGGAAGGCAAAGGAGCUUUGGAAAGAGGUUCUUAAGGUUGGUUGCUCCCUUAAUGCUUUACGUUUGGCCACUCAACCUGAUGCUCUCUAAAGCCCUUUUCUAAUGUUAUUUAGCAGAUUGCUCUCUGAGCUGUUUGCCAGCUCUAAGCCUGAAGCCAGUGAGUGACACAGGUUCUGCCCCAGCUCUUCUCUCUGGAUCAUUCCCUUUGGAAUUGCAGCUCCAGCAAGAGGUGCUGACAGUGCUGUGACACCCCUGGACCUGAUGCAGCACAACCCUGUGUUUCCCUUCUGUUGAGCUGCUCUGGCUGCUGAAUUUGCUGUGCUUUCAUGUCACAGCUAUGGCCUAACACAGCAGAUACAGCUCUGUAGGGGGAAAAAAAAAAACAGCACAUCAUGGGCUAUGGGGGCCUAUAGAUAUCUGUCAGGUGGCUCUGGCUCUUUAUAGGUUUGAGUUUCUUCAGUAUAAGCAUUUUAUUCCUUGGAGAGGAAGCAUUGGGUAGGUCCCACCUUAUUUCCUUUUGUAAUUACAAAAGGUUUUGUCAGCGGUGAUUUGCCCUUAUCCCUAAGGGAUGGAGAGGGUGCCUGUCAAACACAGACCUGGGGAAAGCUGCUGGGAUCCAAUACAAAACUGUGCCAACCUCUGCUCUGGGUGUGGGGAGAUGGUGGCGAUGGGUUGAGGGUUGGACUUGAUGAUGUUAGCACUCUUUUCCAACCUUAAUGAUUGAGUGGGAGCUGGAGUUCAUGCUCACAGCUCUCACCUCAGAGGCCUCACAACACAGUGGACACAUGGCCCAAAUGGCCCCGUAUCACCAGGCCCGUUCCUGAGAGAUGCUGCAUGGCUUUGUGUUUUUUUCCUUUCUCAUUCUCCCUGCUGAGAUUAUUUGCCUGACUGGCAGAAAGAACUCAUGCUGAGUUUAUGCAGUCAUCCCAGAGAACUGUCUCUCUCCUGCAUACCAAGGCAUUUUGGAUAAAUAGAAGGCUAGAAUAAAAAGUAAACUGCUUAUGUAGGCAGCAGAAAACAGUAUUUGCAGAACACAAUGACAUCACUGUGGAACAUUAAGGUUGGAAUAGGCCUCUGAGAUCCACGUGUCCAACCCCAACCCAUCCCACUGUGUUCACUGACCACGUCCCUCAGUGCCACGUCCCCACUGUUCUGGAGCAUCUCCAGGGAUGGUGACCCCACUAUUCCCUGGGCAGCUGUGCCAGUGUCUGACCACAUCUGGAGAACAAAUGUUGCCUAAUAUCCAGCCUGAACCUCCUCUGGCUCAACUUAAGGUCAUUACCUCUUCUCCUAUCACUGUUACGUGGGUGAAGAGGUGAGGAGAAGUAAUAGUCCAUGCUGCUGUCUGAAGCUACAUCAGAGAGAGCCUGCAUGUGACUGCAUGAACGACCCCAGGUCAUAGAAUCAUAGGUCAUAUGGUCAUAUCAUAGGUCAGCCCAGCACUUCCAAGAACACGAUGCUGUUCCUGAACCCCAGGCACUGCUCCCCUCUGUCCCUUGUAGGCCACAGAAGCAGGGCUUUGCCUCCAACCUGUGCUCCUCAAACCUUCUGUCAGACCCUGUGUGGACCCAACACUGACCCUGGACAAAGCAGAAGCUUGUGACCAGGGCACUAGACCUUCACUUAUGCAAGGACUUUUUUUCUUCCUCUCCAGGGCUACUUGGGAUCCAAAUCCCUCUCUCAUGCUAUGCUGUGUUGAAGUCUCUAGGACAACAUUUUGGCCUGGAUUCAGGAAGCCUGUUAAGGAUUGCAGCCCAAAAGAGGUUGGAGGCUGGGAUGGGCGAGAUGGAGCCGGGCUGGGAGCAGCCCAGUGGUGAGGUUGCAGGAGGCUGCAGGACCUUCCCAGCAGGACAACCACUGUGUCUGUCCAGUCCUCCAUCCAGCCCCGCCGUGUCCCGAGGGCUGCAGGAGACAUGAGCUCACUGCUGAGACGUGCCAAACCGAGCCCGCUGGGCGAGGCUGCUCCCAGCUCCACGCUGACAUCUGCCAGAGAUUUCCAGCACUGCUGUCUCGCUGCUUCUCUGCAGAGCGCAGCCCCUGAGCAUCCCAACAUCCUGGUCCUCCUCUGGGCCAGAGGCAUCCACAUCUACAUCCCCAUCCUCACUACUGUCCCCAUCCCCCCCCACAUCAGCAUCCUGACACCUGAACUGGUUGCCGUAGAAACCACAGGUCUGUCUGUCUGCCCGUGCCAAGGGAUGAUGCUCUGCUUCCC